UACGGAGGGAGCUAGCGUUGUUCGGAAUUACUGGGCGUAAAGCGCACGUAGGCGGCUUUUUAAGUCAGGGGUGAAAUCCCGGGGCUCAACCCCGGAACUGCCCUUGAAGCUGGAGAGCUAGAAUCUUGGAGAGGCGAGUGGAAUUCCGAGUGUAGAGGUGAAAUUCGUAGAUAUUCGGAAGAACACCAGUGGCGAAGGCGACUCGCUGGACAAGUAUUGACGCUGAGGUGCGAAAGCGUGGGGAGCAAACAGG
rnacentral:rRNA from 1 species